rnacentral:rRNA from 1 species
CCUACGGGUGGCAGCAGUGGGGAAUAUUGGACAAUGAGCGAAAGCCUGAUCCAGCCAUGCCGCGUGUGUGAAGAAGGCCUUCGGGUUGUAAAGCACUUUCAGUGGGGAAGAAAGCCUUGGGGCUAAUACCCUCGAGGAAGGACAUCACCCACAGAAGAAGCACCGGCUAACUCCGUGCCAGCAGCCGCGGUAAUACGGAGGGUGCGAGCGUUAAUCGGAAUUACUGGGCGUAAAGCGCGCGUAGGCGGUCUGAUAAGCCGGUUGUGAAAGCCCCGGGCUCAACCUGGGAACGGCAUCCGGAACUGUCAGGCUAGAGUGCAGGAGAGGAAGGUAGAAUUCCCGGUGUAGCGGUGAAAUGCGUAGAGAUCGGGAGGAAUACCAGUGGCGAAGGCGGCCUUCUGGACUGACACUGACGCUGAGGUGCGAAAGCGUGGGUAGCAAACAGGAUUAGAUACCCGAGUAGUC